ACUUUAAAGUUAACAUAUUUACAUAUGCUGUGUUGUCGUUCCCCCUGCUCAGAAUAAUUGUUCCUUAACUAUACCUGUCUGCUGUCUGCCUGUAGCAGCCAGGGACGCUCGGUCUCAAACAU
ensembl:snoRNA Gm22864 predicted gene, 22864